rnacentral:rRNA from 1 species
GGGUUGUGAGGUUAAGCGACCAAGCGUACACGGUGGAUGCCCUGGCAGUCAGAGGCGAUGAAGGACGUGCUAAUCUGCGAAAAGCGCCGGUAAGGUGAUAUGAACCGUUAUAACCGGCGAUGUCCGAAUGGGGAAACCCAGUGUGACUCGUCACACUAUCAUUAACUGAAUCCAUAGGUUAAUGAGGCGAACCGGGGGAACUGAAACAUCUAAGUACCCCGAGGAAAAGAAAUCAACCGAGAUUCCCCCAGUAGCGGCGAGCGAACGGGGAGGAGCCCAGAGCCUGAAUCAGCAUGUGUGUUAGUGGAAGCGUCUGGAAAGGCGCGCGAUACAGGGUGAGAGCCCCGUACACAAAAGCGCACAUGCUGUGAGCUCGAUGAGUAGGGCGGGACACGUGGUAUCCUGUCUGAAUAUGGGGGGACCAUCCUCCAAGGCUAAAUACUCCUGACUGACCGAUAGUGAACCAGUACCGUGAGGGAAAGGCGAAAAGAACCCCGGCGAGGGGAGUGAAACAGAACCUGAAACCGUGUACGUACAAGCAGUGGGAGCCCCACCA